UGGGCAACCUGCCCUCAGCUCUGGGAUAACCCCGGGAAACCGGGGCUAAUACCGGAUACGACCUCCGCGGGCAUCUGCGGAGGUGGAAAGGUUUUCCGGCUGAGGAUGGGCACGCGGCCUAUCAGCUAGUUGGUGGGGUGAUGGCCCACCAAGGCGACGACGGGUAGCCGGCCUGAGAGGGCGACCGGCCACACUGGGACUGAGACACGGCCCAGACUCCUACGGGAGGCA
rnacentral:rRNA from 1 species